rnacentral:lncRNA from 1 species
CAGGUUAAAACUCUAGGGAACUCAUAGGAAACCUUGCACCCACUUUUCUUUCUUUUCUUUCUUUUUCUCUUGGAAGGAUAUGGACUUCCUUCUCAUGCACAGGACUUCCUCACGCCCCAGAAUUUUUCUUCAAAAAUCUUCUUUUUCACACCCCACUCUUCUCCUCCUUUUAUAACAACGUCAAACGUCUUAUCCAAAUGAAAGGAUAAGGAUGAGUAAUUGC